rnacentral:rRNA from 1 species
CUGCGGAGGGAUCAUUACCGAGUUUACAACUCCCAAACCCCUGUGAACAUACCUAUUUGUUGCCUCGGCGGUGCCUGUUCCGACAGCCCGCCAGAGGACCCCAAACCCUGAUUACAUUUAAGAAGUCUUCUGAGUAAACCGAUUAAAUAAAUCAAAACUUUCAACAACGGAUCUCUUGGUUCUGGCAUCGAUGAAGAACGCAGCGAAAUGCGAUAAGUAAUGUGAAUUGCAGAAUUCAGUGAAUCAUCGAAUCUUUGAACGCACAUUGCGCCCGCUAGUAUUCUGGCGGGCAUGCCUGUCCGAGCGUCAUUUCAACCCUCAAGCCCCCGGGCUUGGUGUUGGGGAUCGGCGAGCCUCCGCGCCCGCCGUCCCCUAAAUCUAGUGGCGGUCUCGCUGUAGCUUCCUCUGCGUAGUAGCACACCUCGCACUGGGAAACAGCGCGGCCACGCCGUUAAACCCCCAACUUCUGAACGUU